CGCGGUAAUUCCAGCUCCAAUAGCGUAUACUAAAGUGUUGCAGUUAAAAAGCUCGUAGUUGGAUUUCUGGCGGGGACGGCUGGUCGGUCUCGAAAGGGGCUGUACUGUUGUUGGUUCCCGUCAUCCUUGGGGAGAGCGGCUCUUACAUUAAGUUGUCGGCGUCGGGAUCCCUAUCUUUUACUGUGAAAAAAUUAGAGUGUUCAAAGCAGGCUUAGGCCCUGAAUACAUUAGCAUGGAAUAAUAAGAUACGACCUUGGUGGUCUAUUUUGUUGGUUUGCACGCCAAGGUAAUGACUAAUAGGGAUAGUUGGGGGUAUUCGUAUUCAAUUGUCAGAGGUGAAAUUCUUGGAUUUAUGGAAGACGAACUACUGCGAAAGCAUUUACCAAGGAUGUUUUCAUUAAUCAAGAACGAAAGUUAGGGGAUCGAAGAUGAUUAGAUACCAUCGUAGUCUUAACCAUAAACUAUGCCGACUAGGGAUCGGUGGGUGCAUUUUUAGGCCUCAUCGGCACCUUAUGAGAAAUCAAAGUCUUUGGGUUCCGGGGGGAGUAUGGUCGCAAGGCUGAAACUUAAAGAAAUUGACGG
rnacentral:rRNA from 1 species